GACGAACGAUGGCGGCGUGCUUAACACAUGCAAGUCGAACGAUGAACCCGGAGCUUGCUCCGGUGGAUUAGUGGCGAACGGGUGAGUAACACGUGAGUAACCUGCCCUUGACUCUGGGAUAACUGCGGGAAACUGUAGCUAAUACCGGAUACGACCCUCGGCGGCAUCGCCAGGGGGUGGAAAGAAUUUCGGUCAAGGAUGGACCCGCGGCCUAUCAGCUAGUUGGUGAGGUAACGGCUCCCCGAGGCGACGACGGGUAGCCGGCCUGAGAGGGGGACCGGCCACGCUGGGGCUGAGACACGGCCCAGACUCCUACGGGAGGCAGCAGUGGGGAAUAUUGCACAAUGUGCGCAAGCCUGAUGCAGCAGCGCCGCGUGAGGGAUGACGGCCUUCGGGUUGUAAACCUCUUUUAGUAGGGAAGAAGCGAAAGUGACGGUACCGGCAGAAAAAGCACCGGCUAACUACGUGCCAGCCGCCGCCGUAA
rnacentral:rRNA from 1 species